ACACAUGCAUAAAUCUGGCUUAUAAAGCUCCUGUGGACGGAGAUUGCUGGCAGCCCAGUGUAGGAGGAGAGAUGAAGGUUAUACAUUGCAGGGAUUGUAACAUUGUUUUGUGAGAGUUCUGAUUACCAUUACUGUCAUCUGGAGGCCACUUCGAUGAUCUGGCCCCUGCCACUAAUGAACUGCUGUUGCAAUCAGACGGUAAACCCAAGGGCAUGGCACUAUGUCCCAGGCUGACAGUAUAUUGCAUCAUGAAGUGGGAAAAGAGGUUGAGACACCUUGCUUCAGAAAUAUCUCAUGACAGUUCUUCAUUCAGUUGGCACCUAAAGAAAAACAACAGAGAGAUCUUAUCAAGGGAGAUCUGCUUGUGGGAUUUUCUGCUUCAGAUGCCAAAAUAAUGUAACCAGCCUUGGGUACUGUGAAGUUUGUUACCUUUGCAUAAAGGAUGCUAUUUGAUACUCCACCUCAAAGAGAGGAAGGGCACCACUUGAAUGUUCUGCCUCCGAUACCCAUUUCUGGAUCUUCACAGCAGGGAAGCAAAACCGAGGAAACAACAAACAAACAAAACCCCAAGCUGGUUCCUCCCACUUUUUGCCUUGGAAAGAGGAGCAUGCUGCAGUGGAGAGCGGGCAACUGUGCUCCCUCCUAGAGACUUGGUUAUCCACCCACAAGUUUCUCAUAACAAACAGAGAAUCUGUGUUUUGUGGCCAAUCCCUGUACCAUUCUUAUGACAGCUUGCCCAGUCUGGAUCAAAGGGGAGCAUAGUUCAGACCUUAGCCUGGCCACUAUACAGUAUCCUAAUUUUCCAACAAUUAUAUGCCACGGAAUUCAGCAAUCACCAUGCAUAUAGACAUUUGCUAGGCCACUGCAAGUUCCUUUUUGCUUGAGGAGCCCUCACCAGCCAGAGCAGCAAUUUCUGCAUAUUCCUUCAUUUAGUGCUUGUCAUCUCUUGCCUUUAUGAUUUAUGCUGUUUUUCCCUGACUUUAGAGCUUGAUCACAGAUAUGCAAACACUGAGCUGGGUUGUAAUUCAACAGACAUCAGGGUGAUGCUUGUUUUUGAGAUUGGAUUAAAAUAUCUUUUGUCUCAAAGGUAUGUCUGUAAGAGCUCUAUUGAACAUAAAUAUGGGCCCAUUUGAGCCUCACGUCUCAGUCCUGUGCAGAUUUGCUGAGCCCGCUCAGUUUGUCCCUAAUACGUCUGCAUAGGAUCGCAAGCUUAAAUUGUAGUCCGAAGCAUGCAUGCCUGCAAGUGUCACUGAGAUCAGUGGGCCUUUUUUCU